rnacentral:rRNA from 1 species
UUGGAUUGAGACAACGUACAAACCUUAUCGAUAAACAAUUGGAGGGCAAGUCUGGUGCCAGCAGCCGCGGUAAUUCCAGCUCCAAUAGCGUAUAUUAACGUUGUUGCAGUUAAAAAGCUCGUAGUUGAAAUGAAGGGUAGUUGUGUAAUGAAUACAUUCGUGUAUUUUGUUAUUCAACUACCCUCCUUCUAAAUUCGAUAUAUGAGUAUUAAUUUACUUGUAUAUGGUUUUAGACGUUUACUGUGAGAAAAUUAGAGUGUUCAAAGCAGGCAUUUGCUUGAAUAUAUUAGCAUGGAAUAAUCAUGUAUGAUUUUCAUGAUGUAUUUGAUUGGUUUGGUUCAUGAGAAUAAGAUUAAAAGGGACAGUUGGGGGUAUUCAUAUUCAAUAGUCAGAGGUGAAAUUCUCGGAUUUAUGGAAGAUGAACAAG